rnacentral:rRNA from 1 species
AUUGAACGCUGGCGGCAGGCCUAACACAUGCAAGUCGAGCGGAUGAAGGGAGCUUGCUCCUGGAUUCAGCGGCGGACGGGUGAGUAAUGCCUAGGAAUCUGCCUGGUAGUGGGGGAUAACGUCCGGAAACGGGCGCUAAUACCGCAUACGUCCUGAGGGAGAAAGUGGGGGAGCUUCGGACCUCACGCUAUCAGAUGAGCCUAGGUCGGAUUAGCUAGUUGGUGGGGUAAAGGCCUACCAAGGCGACGAUCCGUAACUGGUCUGAGAGGAUGAUCAGUCACACUGGAACUGAGACACGGUCCAGACUCCUACGGAAGGCAGCAGUGGGGAAUAUUGGACAAUGGGCGAAAGCCUGAUCCAGCCAUGCCGCGUGUGUGAAGAAGGUCUUCGGAUUGUAAAGCACUUUAAGUUGGGAGGAAGGGCAGUAAGUUAAUACCUUGCUGUUUUGACGUUACCAACAGAAUAAGCACCGGCUAACUUCGUG